GUUCAGAUUCCAUCGAAUCUGCAUGAAAGAGUUCGUGUAGCGAUUGAAAAAAUAAUACCCUGCAAGCCAAUCGCAUAUGGAAUGCGAUAGAGUGCUUAUUGUAAUUUAUCUUUCAAACUCAUAUAAUUGAUAUUUAUUAUUAAUAAAAUAGAUAUUUUUGAUUUAUUAUAUACUGUAUCUUAUUAAUUUUAAGAUUAUAAUGAAUCCCAUAGGUC
rnacentral:lncRNA from 1 species